UGGGGAAUAUUGCACAAUGGGCGAAAGCCUGAUGCAGCAACGCCGCGUGAGUGAUGAAGGUCUUCGGAUUGUAAAGCUCUGUCUUUUGGGACGAUAAUGACGGUACCAAAGGAGGAAGCCACGGCUAACUACGUGCCAGCAGCCGCGGUAAUACGUAGGUGGCGAGCGUUGUCCGGAUUUACUGGGCGUAAAGGGUGCGUAGGCGGAUGUUUAAGUGAGAUGUGAAAUACCCGGGCUUAACUUGGGUGCUGCAUUUCAAACUGGAUAUCUAGAGUGCAGGAGAGGAGAAUGGAAUUCCUAGUGUAGCGGUGAAAUGCGUAGAGAUUAGGAAGAACACCAGUGGCGAAGGCGAUUCUCUGGACUGUAACUGACGCUGAGGCACGAAAGCGUGGGUAGCAAACAGGAUUAGAUACCCUGGUAGUCCACGCCGUAAACGAUGAGUACUAGGUGUAGGAGGUAUCGACCCCUUCUGUGCCGCAGUAAACACAUUAA
rnacentral:rRNA from 1 species